rnacentral:rRNA from 1 species
CCAAUAGCGUAUAUUAAAGUUGUUGCAGUUAAAAAGCUCGUAGUUGAAUUUCGGAAUCUGUCCGUUGGUCGGGCUUUAUUGUCCGUACUGGUGUGAUGGGUUCUUACCUUCUGAAUAACCAGCAUGCCAUUCAUUUGGUGCGUUGGGGAAGCAGGACUAUUACCUUGAAAAAAUUAGAGUGCUCAAAGCAGGCUAGUGCCUGAAUACAUUAGCAUGGAAUAAUAAAAUAGGACGGCAUGGUUCUAUUUUGUUGGUUUCUAGGAUCACCGUAAUGAUUAAUAGGGAUAGUUGGGGGCAUUAGUAUUCAAUUGUCAGAGGUGAAAUUCUUGGAUUUAUUGAAGACUAACUUCUGCGAAAGCAUUUGCCAAGGAUGUUUUCAUUAAUCAAGAACGAAAGUUAGGGGAUCGAAGACGAUCAGAUACCGUCGUAGUCUUAACCAUAAACUAUGCCGACUAGGGAUCGGACGAUGUUAAUUUUUUAAUGACUCGUUCGGCGCCUUACG